GGAUGCUGAGAUAUCUCAGCAACCGUGCACUGUGAUGAACGGCUCUUUUUAGAGCGUCAAAUUGAUGAUGAAAACAUUAAAUCGAAAUCGGAAGGAUUGCUCAAAGCAAUAAACUACUUUAUGGAUAAUGGAAUUGGUAACGAUAAUCAAGAGUACCUAACUCUCAGGCAGAAACAUCAGGAUAUCCUAGCCAAGAAAGGACAAUUAAUAGAUUUAACUGGAUGCAUAUUGAAGUCCUCCACAUUGAGACUGAAAAAUCUACCUGUUGCCUAAUGAUACUGAAAUUGAGCAUUCUCUGCAUGAUUUGAGGCUGAAAAAUAUCAAAAUGAUUGCAUUCUUAUUAAGUAUCUCUUUGUGGAAGGAAGAAGGUAUGUUCAGCAUUUAAAGAACAUUCUUUUGGAAAAUUUAACUGGAUGCAUUUUGAAGCUAUCCUCAUGGAGACUGAAAACUCUACCUGUGAUUUGAUGUAUCAACUGUCAUGUUAUGCUAUGAAACCCCAUAUUUUGCCUACUGAAUGGUUUGGAAGAGGUAUGAAAUGGUAGAAGAGGUAGAAUAAGAGGCCUAAUGAUAGUAAAAUUGCACAUUCUCUGCAUACUUUGAGGCUAAAUAAUACAAAAAUGAUGGAAAAUUUGAUUUCUUUCAAAAUGAAUUCCUGGCUGUGAAGAGGAGCUCAAAAGCAAAGAUACUGAUAUCUAUCUCCCAAAAAUGAGUGAAGUGAGAAAGCUUCAAAAAAUAGAAAAGUGUAAGCUGCAGUUUCCUUCUGAUAUUCUUUAGAACGACAACAACAAUACAAUAUGUUGAAAGAAAUGCCUGGACUGCAUUCAUCUGCCUUUAGGCAUGUAAUUUUUUGGAAUUUUGCUAGUACAUGAAUACUCUAUAUAAAUGAAAAUAUUCUGCACUUCAUGUAAUAUUAUGCAUACAGAAAAGCUUGUCAACUCUUGCUGA